rnacentral:rRNA from 1 species
AUUGAACGCUGGCGGCAUGCCUUACACAUGCAAGUCGAACGGCAGCACGGGAGCAAUCCUGGUGGCGAGUGGCGAACGGGUGAGUAAUAUAUCGGAACGUGCCCGGUCGUGGGGAUAACGUAGCGAAAGCUACGCUAAUACCGCAUACGAUCUACGGAUGAAAGCGGGGGAUCGCAAGACCUCGCGCGAUUGGAGCGGCCGAUAUCAGAUUAGGUAGUUGGUGAGGUAAAGGCUCACCAAGCCGACGAUCUGUAGCUGGUCUGAGAGGACGACCAGCCACACUGGGACUGAGACACGGCCCAGACUCCUACGGGAGGCAGCAGUGGGGAAUAUUGGACAAUGGGCGAAGCCUGAUCCAGCAAUGCCGCGUGAGUGAUGAAGGCCUUAGGGUUGUAAAGCUCUUUUACCCGAGAUGAUAAUGACAGUAUCGGGAGAAUAAGCUCCGGCUAACUCCGUGCCAGCAGCCGCGGUAA